rnacentral:rRNA from 1 species
AUUGAACGCUGGCGGCAUGCCUAACACAUGCAAGUCGAGCGAGCGGCGGACGGGUGAGUAAUGUCUGGGAAACUGCCUGAUGGCGGGGGAUAACUACUGGAAACGGUAUCUAAUACCGCAUACCAUCAGAUGUGCCCAGAUGGGAUUAGCUGGUAGGUGGGGUAACGGCUCACCUAGGCGACGAUCCCUAGCUGGUCUGAGAGGAUGACCAGCCACACUGGAACUGAGACACGGUCCAGACUCCUACGGGAGGCAGCAGUGGGGAAUAUUGCACAAUGGGCGAAAGCCUGAUGCAGCCAUGCCGCGUGUGUGAAGAAGGCCUUCGGGUUGUAAAGCACUUUCGGUGGGGAGGCGUUACCCGAAGAAGAAGCACCGGCUAACUCCGUGCCAGCAGCCGCGGUAAUUC